ACACAAGUGAGUUCGAGUUCGAGGCAAGCCUGGGCUAUAUAGUGAGACCCUAUCACAAACAAAAGAGAAAGAAGAGGAAAUGGGAAGGAAAGGGGAGAGUGCAUGCAAGGAGUUGAAACCAUGUGAGCUAACAGUAAUGAAGCCAUGAGUGGGAUGGGAAGAGUCAUGCUGAAGGAUGUUAUGUAUCCCAGGAGUUGGGAAAGCUAAGGAAAAGAUUUGAGCAGUUGGAUGAAGGUCUCUUCUUCUGGAGCUGCUUCCUGCUGACCAGGGGUGAAGAUUGGGGCUAGACCUGGAUCUGAUGAGGCCUGUGGCAACACCAAGCGCACGUUUUCCAGAGGACACUCGAGGAAGGCCCGAAACUGCUGCUGUAAGAGGAUGUACAUCCAUAUUACCUGUCGGGUGAUCUGAGAGAUGAAGGCAGGUCCAUUGUCUGAUUGAAUGGAACGCGGAAGGCCAAAUCGAGGAAUGAUUUCUGUUAAGAGCACAUGAACUACAGCAGCCGCUCUCCUUCCGACCUGCAGGGAAAGGCCUCUAUCCACCCCAUGAAAGUAUCUACCAAG
rnacentral:lncRNA from 1 species